UACCUGAGAAAUCUUUCUUCUUACCUGUAGUUAAAUUAACGUAAUAAGUAUUGUGUUUUCUUAAAUUUGUUCUGCCGAAACUGAACCAUUUCAAGUCUUUUGGGGGCCAUUUCAUUUCCGAAAAAUGUAUUUGAAAGAAUUCUUGUAAUUUUGUUUCGUUGGGUGUUUUUUGCGUAACGCUUCUCAAUUAAGUGUUAGUUUACCGAUAAAGUGCAAUACUGAGAAAGACUGGAAGCAUUUGGUGGAAAUCAUGACGAAUUGCUCAAGGAACGGAGUAAUAGGGUGAGUCUUUAAUGAAGCAGAGUAGCAGAGAUUGAGCCUCUCUCAGGUCUCAUGAGAGGACGCCGCAUCCUCCUAUAAAAAUGCAGGUAGGUGAAACUAUAACUUUCUCAUUUAGCCAUGGAAAUGCAGAAGUAACUCCAGAUGCUCGAGGACCUGGUUGUUUCAUAUUGACUGCAAUAAUCUGCUACGAUAAAGGUGAAACACUGUGCAGAACUUCCCAGAUAUGCUGAUCGCUGGUGUACUGCUUCUUGGAGAUCAAACACAAAAAUAAAGUACUGGAAGGCAAAUCAUCGAGCUGUGUUUGAAGGCAAAUUUUCCACGUAAUAAUUUUUUUGUCUCUUUCUCAGGUGAAUGAUGCAGAAGGGCGUCGAACUGCUGGAAAACCGAUCGUCUCCAAAUUAAAGGUUCAUAGCUGUCCUUGAGGAUGUGUAUGUUUCAGGGUUUUCAUUUCAAAACUUAUAUUUCCAAAAAAUAUUUAUUUUGGAUGAAAAUUUUAACGAGUCAAUCUGAUAAAUUUCCAGGUGAACCUCAGGGAUGAGUUGCUUGGACCACAUGAUUGAAAUGGCAGCCUAGUGGGUACUGAAAAUUGUGGAAACCUCCACACUGAAGGCCAUUGUUCUAUCAAGAAACGGUGAAAGAAUGCGUAGUGCGCGAUUUUUUUAUAUAAUUGAGGAGUUUUAUUCAAAAAGUUGCCAAUUUUCUUGAAAAAUCUUUUCCUUCUUACCUAGAGUUAUAUUACUGUAAUAAGUUUUAUGUUUUCUUAAAUUCGUUUUGCUGAAACUGAUCGAUUUCAAGUUUUUUUGAGGGCCGUUUCAUCACCGAAAAAUGAAUUUGAAAGAAUUCUUGUAAUUUUGUUUCGUUGGGUGUUUUUUGCGUAAUGCUUCUCAAUUAAGUGUUAGUUUACCGAUAAAGUGCAAUACUGAGAAAGACUGGAAGCAUUUGGUGGAAAUCAUGACGAAUGGCUCAAGGAACGGAGUAAUAGGGUGAGUGUUUAAUGAAGCAGAGUAGCAGAGAUUGAGCCUCUCUCAGGACUCAUGAGAGGACGCCGCAUCCUCCUAUAAAAAUGCAGGUAGGUGAAACUAUAACUUUCUAAUUUAGCCAUGGAAAUGCAGAAGUGCCUCCAGAUGCUCCAGGACCUGGUUUUUCAUAUUGAGUGCAAUAAUCUGCUACAAAAAAGGUGAAACACUGUGCAGAACUUCCCAGAUAUGCUGAUCGCUGGUGUACUGCUUCUUGGAGAUCAAACACAAAAAUAAAGUACUGGAAGGCAAAUUAUCGAUCUGUGUUUAAAGGCAAAUUUUUCACGUAAUAAUUUUUUGUCUCUUUCUCAGGUGACUGAUGCAGAAAGGCGUCGAGCUGCUGGAAAACCGAGCGUCUUCAAAUCAAGGGUUAAUAGCUGUCCUUGAGGAGGUUUAUAUUUCAGGGUUUUCAUUUUGAUACUUAUAGUUUCAAAAAACUUUUAUUUCGAAUGAAAAUUUUAACGAGACAAACUGAAUAAUUUCCAGGUGAACCUCAGAGAUGAGUUGCUUGGACCACGUGAUUGAAAUGGCAGCCUAGUGGGUAUUGAAAAUUGUGGAAACGUCCACACUGAAGGCCAUUGUUCUAUCAAGAAACGGUACAAGGUUCCGUAGUGCGCGAUUUUUUUAUAUGAUUGAGGAGCUUUAUUCAAAAAGUUACCAAUUUUCCUGAGAGAUAUUUCGUUUUCACCUGGAGUUAAAGUAAAGUAAUGAGUUUUAUGUUUUCUUAAAUUUGUUCUUCUGAAACUGAACGAUUUCAAGUCUUUUGGGGGCCAUUUCAUUUUCGAAAAAUGUUUUUGAAAGAAUUUUUGUAAUUUUGUUUCGUUGGGUGUUUUUUGCGUAAUGCUUCUCAAUUAAGUGUUAGUUUACCGAUAAAGUGCAAUACUGAGAAAGACUGGAAGCAUUUGGUGGAAAUCAUGACGAAUGGCUCAAGGAGCGGAGUAAUAGGGUGAGUGUUCAAUGAAGCAGAGUAGCAGAGAUUGAGCCUCUCUCAGGACUCAUGAGAGGACGCCGCAUCCUCCUAUAAAAAUGCAGGUAGGUGAAACUAUAACUUUCUAAUUUAGCCAUGGAAAUGCAGAAGUAACUCCAGAUGCUCGAGGACCUGGUUGUUUCAUAUUGACUGCAAUAAUCUGCUACGAUAAAGGUGAAACACUGUGCAGAACUUCCCAGAUAUGCUGAUCGCUGGUGUACUGCUUCUUGGAGAUCAAACACAAGAAUAAAGUACUGGAAGGCAAAUUAUCGAUCUGUGUUUAAAGGCAAAUUUUUCACGUAAUAAUUUUUUGUCUCUUUCUCAGGUGACUGAUGCAGAAAGGCGUCGAGCUGCUGGAAAACCGAGCGUCUUCAAAUCAAGGGUUAAUAGCUGUCCUUGAGGAGGUUUAUAUUUCAGGGUUUUCAUUUUGAUACUUAUAGUUUCAAAAAACUUUUAUUUCGAAUGAAAAUUUUAACGAGACAAACUGAAUAAUUUCUAGGUGAACCUCAGAGAUGAGUUGCUUGGACCACGUGAUUGAAAUGGCAGCCUAGUGGGUAUUGAAAAUUGUGGAAACGUCCACACUGAAGGUCAUUGUUCUAUCAAGAAACGGUACAAGGUUCCGUAGUGCGCGAUUUUUUUAUAUGAUUGAGGAGCUUUAUUCAAAAAGUUACCAAUUUUCCUGAGAGAUAUUUCGUUUUCACCUGGAGUUAAAUUAAAGUAAUAAGUUCUAUGUUUUCUUAAAUUUGUUCUGCUGAAACUGAACGAUUUCAAGUCUUUUGAGGGCCAUUUCAUUUUCGAAAAAUGUUUUUGAAGGAAUUUUUGUAAUUUUGUUUCAUUGUGUGUUUUUUGCGUAAUGCUUCUCAAUUAAGUGUUAGUUUACCGAUAAAGUGCAAUACUGAGAAAGACUGGAAGCAUUUGGUGGAAAUCAUGACGAAUGGCUCAAGGAACGGAUUAAUAGGGUGAGUGUUUAAUGAAGCAGAGUAGCAGAGAUUGAGCCUCUCUCAGGACUCAUGAGAGGACGCCGCAUCCUCCUAUAAAAAUGCAGGUAGGUGAAACCAUAACUUUCUAAUUUAGCCAUGGAAAUGCAGAAGUACCUCCAGAUGCUCCAGGACCUGGUUUUUCAUAUUGAGUGCAAUAAUCUGCUACAAAAAAGGUGAAACACUGUGCAGAACUUCCCAGUUAUGCUGAUCGCUAGUGAACUGCUUCUUGGAGAUCAUGACACGACAUGAGCUAAUAUGUAGCUAAAAAAACAUGUGAUCUCAUGAGAUUGGAGUUACAAGAAAAAUUCGAAUCUAAGACAGGAGACCAGAUGAUUUAAAAUAAAAAUAGGAAAAAAAUUUUCAGGUGAAUGAUGCAAGGGUAUUGAGCGGUUCAAAAAUAAAGUAUCUUCAAAUUGAGGGGUUCAAAGCUGCCCAUAAAAGGCAAUCCUCGGAGAAGAGAUUUGUACUACGCGUGAAAGCAAGCAUUGCUAGGCCAUUGUUCAUUGUCCAUUUUUUUAUGUCAUUGGUAACGAUGUGUCUCUUAGUGAUGGCGAUGCUGGCCAACCGACAAUAAAUGACUUGCUUUAGGGUGAAACAAAAAAAUGAAGUACUGGAAGGCAAUUUAUCGAUUUGUGUUUAUUAACGGCAAAUUUUUCACGUAAUAAUUUUUUUGUCUUUUUCUCAGCUCAAGGAUGCAGGGCGUCGAACUGCUGGAGAACCGAGCGUCUUCAAAUUAAAGGUUCAUAGCUGUCCUUGAGGAUGUGUAUGUUUCAGGGUUUUUAUUUCAAAACUUAUAUUUCCAAAAAAAUAUUUAUUUUGGAUGAAAAUUUUAACGAGUCAAACUGAUUAAUUUCCAGGUGA